ACUCAAAGGAAUUGACGGGGGUCCGCACAAGCGGUGGAACAUGUGGUUUAAUUCGACACUACGCGAGGAACCUUACCUGGGCUUGACAUAUAUCUGACAGUCGUAGAAAUACGAUCUUCUAGGUUUACUUAGACAGUUAUACAGGUGCUGCAUGGCUGUCGUCAGCUCGUGUCGUGAGAUGUUAGGUUAAGUCCUCUAACGAGCGCAACCCUUGCCGUCAGUUGCUAUGUGCUUUGCACAGCACUCUGGCGGGACUGCCUGGGAAACCAGGAGGAAGGUGGGGACGACGUCAAGUCAUCAUGGUCCUUAUGCCCAGGGCUACACACGUGUUACAAUGGCCAAUACAGAGGGCAGCGAUCUUGCAAAGGUGAGCAAAUCCCAAAAAGUUGGUCUAAGUUCGGAUUGGGGUCUGCAACUCGACCCCAUGAAGUUGAAAUCGCUAGUAAUCGCGUAUCAGCAACGGCGCGGUGAAUACGUUCUCGGACCUUGUACACACCGCCCGU
rnacentral:rRNA from 1 species